rnacentral:rRNA from 1 species
GUGAGGAAUAUUGGACAAUGGGCGCAAGCCUGAUCCAGCCAUGCCGCGUGCAGGAAGACGCAUCUAUGGUGUGUAAACUGCUUUUGUACGGGAAGAAACACUCCCUCGUGAGGGAGCUUGACGGUACCGUAAGAAUAAGGAUCGGCUAACUCCGUGCCAGCAGCCGCGGUAAUACGGAGGAUCCAAGCGUUAUCCGGAAUCAUUGGGUUUAAAGGGUCCGUAGGCGGUUUAAUAAGUCAGUGGUGAAAGCCCAUCGCUCAACGAUGGAACGGCCAUUGAUACUGUUGGACUUGAAUUACAAGGAAGUAACUAGAAUAUGUAGUGUAGCGGGGAAAUGCUUAGAUAUUACAUGGAAUACCAAUUGCGAAGGCAGGUUACUACUUGUGGAUUGACGCUGAUGGACGAAAGCGUGGGGAGCGAACAGGAUUAGAAACCCCGGUAGUCC